GGAGGUUGUUCUCUAGCGUCGUUUCUCAGGAGUGGGUUGGUUGCUCCCGGCACCUUCCCCCCAUCCCUCUCACGCCCCCACCAUCACUCCCACUCCUUUGACAGCAGCUCCUGGCAGAACUUAGCAGAUGGUGCCCUCCCCAAAAGGCUGGGAUCUCCUCCUGUUCGAUUGUUUCCAUCUCCCCUUGCCUUCUGAGUCCUAGCCCCUACCGCACCGCCUUCCCCUUCCAGUCCCCCCAUCCUACCCUAGGACUGAUUGAGAGAAGGGGUCAGGAUCCCAAAUCGAGAAGCUAGGCGAGAGGCAGGCAGAGCAAGGGUGCAGAGCAAGCAUUCCCUCGGUCCCCUGCCCACAUCGUCUUAGAAACAGGCUGGGUUUGGACUUUUUUUUAUUUCAAACUUUUUCCCCCCUGCUAGGUCAAUUUCAGCUCAGCUUGUUCUGGCAGCUGUUCUCUGGUCAAGAACCUUAAAUUCCUACUCCAAGAAAAGUUACCUGGGAAAGCAGAUCCUUCAUUCCUUCAACAUGAUUUUUUGUAAGGGGAUAUUCCUUCCACAGGCCUUCCAUACCUUUGUACCAGUCCCCAUGAGUUGCCAUGGCUAGAAAAAUUCAUGACCUGGUGGCAAAACCUCAGGCAGAUGUUUCCCCAAACAGCUGAUCUUCAAAUAACAAAAAUGUCUCUAGUUUUAGAAGCUUGGGCUCACACUGGAAUGGCCCUUGAGAAAUCCAAAGGAAACCCCAAGCCUGGAAGAAUAGGAAUAGGAUUUCAGUGGAUGAGGAAGACAAUUUUAUUUAAAAAGCAGCUUUUCUUUUUCCCCUCUAAAGCAAACAUAGGUAUUUGUACCCAUUUGAAGCACUAUUUUACUUUUCCCACAUUAUAUCAGGUUCUUUCUAAAUUCUCCAAGACUAGUUCAGUUUGGAUAGAAUAUGGAAAGAAAAAUGAGCCAUACCCAAAGUGAAUAAAACAAUCAUCUUUGCCCACAAUCCCAUCUCUCCUCCAAAUUUCUCUAUUUCUUUUGAGGGCACAAAAAACUUUACUGCUGCAUACAUUUGAAUCCUGUGUCAUCCUGUACUCUUUUCUCUCCCUCUCCUUGAAAGUCCAAUUAGUUGUCAAGUCUUCUUGAAUUAACUCCACAAAUCUCCAAUAUAUUCUUUCUGUCACCUCUCUGAAACUCUCACAGGCCACCCUACACUUAUAGUAGCCUUCUAAUUCUCUCUGAUUGUAGACCUUCCUUUCUCCCAUUCAUGUUCCACACAACUACCAAAUGAAUAUACCUAAAACACAGUUUUAUUUGUAACAGUUCUGACUCUUCUACUAAAAAACCUCCAGCUUCUCCCUAUUGGAUCAUGGAUUUAGAACUGUAAGGGAUUGUAGAAGUCAAGUAAUCCAACACAUUAAUUUUAAAGAGGAAGAAGCUGAGAGAGCAGCUAGUGGAUUGAGAGCCAGGCCUAGAGAUGGGAGGUCCUUGGUUCAAAUCUGUCCUCAGAUAUUUUCUAGCUGUGUCACCCUGGGUAAGUCACUUAACCUCCAUUGCCUUGUCUUUACCACUCUUCUGCCUUGGAACCAACACACAGGAUUGGUUCUAAGAUGAAAGGUUAGGGUUUAAAUUUUUGUUUAAAGAUGAAGAAAUUGAGGCCUGAAGAGGUUUAAGUGAUUUGCCUAGGUAAUAUAAUAUAAGUAAAGGUAACUGGCAAAGCCAGAAUUCAAGCCCAGGGCCUUAGACUCCAGAUUCUACAUGCUUUUCACUGUAUCCUGCUACCUAUUAUUGCCUCUAGGACAAAAGACAAACUUUUGUUUUCAUUGCCCCAGUAGAAUACAAGAUCCUUAAAGGUGAGGACUGUUUUUUAAGGUUCUUUUGUCUUUGUAUCUCCAGUGCUUUACCUAUAGUUGAAGUUGAAUAAAUAUUUACUCAAUUGAAUUGAAAAGGAAAUUCCUUUCUGCCCCACAAUCUGGACAGGAGUAAUUGUACCCAUGGGAAGAGAAAGUAAGAGACUAACCCAUUUGGUAUGAUUUUAAAAGCUUGGAAAAGAUUACCCUGUUCCUAAAUGUUACCCCAAUCUUUCUGCCACUGUGCCUAAAAGUCUGUUAUUAAAGACACAUUCCUUUGAUUAAGACUGUAUCUCCAAGAAUCUUGUUCAAAUGCACACUCCUGGUGAGGUAACAUAUUACAUAUCACAGUUACCAAGUCAUUAACACAUUGGAGGGAUUAAUUUAUCAAAUCAAUUCUAACCCUAUAGUUAGCCAAAAGGGAAUGGAACAAAAUACUGUUUUGAUAAAAAACCCAGGAGGGAAAGGUUUGGAGCUUGGAGUACCUUCCAGAGAUUUUGGAGAUGAUUGGGGCAUUAUAGUGAUGGAUUCUCUGCAACAAAGAAAGAGUCUAUGGAGGGGCACAGAAAAGAUAACAAGAAAAGAUCACUAAAGAAACAGUUGGGAAGAGGCAAGAAUGAAUUUCCCAUUACUUCACAAUUUUGCUUAGAGCCAACAUUACUGAGCACCACCAAAAGAGAACUAACUAUAUGUCACUUUUGACAUGGGCACUGUACCCCAAAAACCCAGGCGAACUAUUGUCAAGGGAACUCCCUUGUUGUUUUCCUAACUCUGAGCCUAAAAACACCCAAUGACCCCACCUAGGGUCCUGAGAUGACUAUCUCCCUCUGAUCGUCCUCUAGAUGGUCAGAAAGAUGCACCUUCAGACCACAUCUCCAUCCUAUCGGACAUCUGCUUGUCCCCUAAAACUAAGGAAUCUUUAUGUCCCCAGGCAGACCCCAGUAUGAUCACCCCACCUCAUGCCUGUUGUGAAGAAUGUAUAAAAUCCCCAGAACUGAUGUCGUCUGGGGGAUAGCCUCUCCAUCCAUGCUGUCCUCUUGGGGGAACAGCCUUUCCUUUCAUGCUGUCCUCCCAGGAACUGCUCCCCAUCUUGCUCUUCUACCUUGCUAUCCUCCUGGCCACCCUCAACAUUACUUUCUAAAUUAAUAAAUCUCUUUUUGUUUUUAAGCUAAGUUUUGGAGUCAUUGCAUGCUUGCAAAAGGCAUCCUUCCCGAACCCAAGGGUAUCCUUCCACACCCAUAACAACUUUCUAAUUUUAAAAAGGGCCCUUACUACCUAUGGGAAAAGACAAAAAAAAAGACAAGGUGUACAAAUUUGAAUACAACAGUUUGUCUUUAUAAAAAGCCAUUGAUAGAACACUGGCAUAUUCCCAUAUAGACUUAUGCCCUUGUAAUCGCUUGUUUGUAUUCAGAGGGCCCAAAACAGAGAUCUUAGGAUCAUGAAUAACAGAACUAUAAGUUCAGACUCAGCAACCAUCUAGUCCAACCUUCUCAUUUUAAAAAAGAAACUGGAACACAGGAAAGUUAAAGGACUUGCUUAAGGUCACAUAAUGUCAAAGGUGAAAUUUAAACUCAGAUUUUCUGAUUCUGGAGGAAAUAGUCUAAUUACUGGGUUUUUAUUAUAACCCAAUUAGCCUUGUAAAGGAAUCAUCUGCUAGAAUAAAACAUAUUAGACCUAGAUGAAAUAUUUGCAGCUCUUAUACUUGUUUACAUUUUUCCUCAGAAGAAAAUGUCAUUAAAGUACAAGCCUUUGAGGCUCACCCACAUGGAUAAUGCGAAGUCCACUGUUAGCACUGAACUAAUAAAAAUAUAUGUAACCAUGCACUUAUGAUUAUAAGGCAUUCUUAGCAAUUAUAUGUCCUUUUAUGUUUUCCCUUUGAUUCAAGAUUAUUUGAUAUAUUAUGUGAACUGGCUUUUAAAGUUUUUAUAACAAUCUGCUUAUGUUGUGAUGAUUUUGCUAUUCAGCUAAACUUUUUUAUGUGAUAGUUUUCCAGGAAAAAACAAACACACAAAAGGUCCCUUAGGCCCAUAGGAAACUAAUUUUUUUUUCAAGAGCAUUAUAAGAAUCCCUAAUUUCCUUUAUCAUAGCAUGAAUAUUCCUGACAGCUCCUGUGGUGUUAAAGAUUUUAAAAUAUCUCACUUCAGUUAAAAGAGCUCUGCUAAUGUGUCCCUAGAAUAUGUAGAGAAAAUUAAAAUUAUUAUAUGUCUUUAGAGAAAAUGUGGGAAGUAGAUGAUAGCUCCAUAUUUACAGUAGUCUUGGCAAGAGUUAUCUGAUUUGGAUAUUUUAUGUUUGGAAUAUGAUUUUAUUUAUUUAUUUUUGGUCUAGGUCUGUGAUUUCAUUGGCAUCAGGAAUUCCCAUAAGGAAACUAAUGAGCAUUGUGCCAAGUUCUAGGGAAGACAGUCCUUCCUGUCAAGGAGCUCAUGUUCCAGGGAAAACUCUUCAAAGAAAUUUCAGCUGCAAAUGAGACAAGAAGGUUCCAUGUCCUUGGGGGUAAUAGCAGCAUAGCAUAUCAGAUAAUAAUGCUAUUUCUUUUAUAUUAUUACUAUUUAUAAAACCUUAUCCAUUUCUUGUGUUGAACUUUUGACAAAGUCAAGGAUUUUAGUAUUGAGGAUUUUGUUUUCUGGGUCUUCACUAGUUAUGACUGCUAACCAAGGAGGGACUACAGCAUCUGCAGAAGCAGUGGACAAGUCACAUUUACUUAAGUUAUUUCUAAAAAAAAUGGUUGUGGGGGCAGGGCUGGAAAAAGAGAGGUAUUGCUUUUCUCAGGGUCUAGGAAACUGAAAGUUCAAGUAAUUUUCCUAAGGCAUGUAUGUAUGUAUGUAUGUCAGAGGCAAGACUUGAAGCCAGCCCUUUGAGAUUUGGAGGCCAGCUCUCUAGAGAUCCACUACCCCAGACUGUCCCAAUUGUUAUUAGAGGAACAGUUCUUAUGUAACAUAUUGCCCCCUUCAUAAAUGGAUAUUUUAUUUGCUAAAAAGCUUAUAAAAAGGCAUCAAUGCAAGAAACACAGAAGAAUAACUUGAGUUCUUUUUAGGGCCUGAUAAAUAGCAGCACCUCAUAAACUACUGAGAAUCUGGAAAGAAAGCAUGCCCCUCAAAAGCAAAUAACUAACUAUAGAGAUGGCAGUAGGGCAUUGUUUCCCAACUGCUAAUUUGAGUAUGUUUAUUUUCAGGACUUUGGCAUGUAUUGUUGGACAUUUGAAACUCCUUGUAAUCUGGUCCCUUCCUAUUUUUCCAGUUUUCUUACCUUUUACUAUUGUCUACAAACUCUAUAAUCCUAAUACAUUGGUUGACUUGCUUUUUCUUUGACCAUAACAGACUAUCUAAACUCCAAACAAAAAAUAAAUGUUCAUUCCCCUCACUUCUACAUCUUAGUUUUCCUAGCUUCCUUCCAAAAUCUGCUCAAAUCCAAUCUUUUUCAGGAACCUUUCCUAUGCCCUCCUAUUAUUAACCCCCCUUCUAAAACUACUGUCUCUUGACUUUGUAUGUAUCCUUUUUUGUACCUUUAGUUAUUUACAUUUCAUCUCCCCCAUUAAACCAUAAGUUCUCUGAGGACAAGAACUAUAUGUAUGCCUUUCUUCAUAUCCCCAGUCCUUGUCAUACUGCCUAUCACAUAGUGAACAUUUAGUAAGUGCAUGUUUAUUGACUAAAUAACUAAUUCUUCAUUAAACAACUGUUUGGGAAUUGUGCAACUAUUGUAUAAUAACUAUUGUAUUUGAAAUAUAGAUUUAGGGUUUCUUUGUCUAAGUUAGAGAUGGGUCAUUAUAUGCAAGAAAGUCCUGAUUUGAGACAUUAAAGCCCAAAUUCUAAGACAGUAAGCAAUUUUUUGAGAAACCACCUUGAAAAGACAUGGAAAAAAUGACAAAAGAAGUUGUAACAUCAGAAAACAGAAUACUAAAGUUGAGAAACUAGCAGAUAAGUACAGUGUUGAUACUGGGAACUGAUCUUAUUGGAAGAGCUGAUUAGUAUCAAGGAGGAAUCUUCUACUGUGGGUGAAGAUCUCGUUUGGGAGUAGAGAAAGGCUGCCUUGCUUUCUAGCACCAUCUAUAUAAUCAGUGAGAGUAUAUACCUCAAAAGAUUGAUUUACCUUGUCCUUUACUCUAUAGACCCCAAGUUUAAAGGAAACUGCUUUUCACUGAAAAGGUAUCAAUCUGACACAGGUCCUAACUAGGAAAAUCUGGGAAACUCUGCAGACCCUAGGCUUAAGGCUGUUUUUAGCUAAAAGCUCAAUACUGCUACAAACUCCAGUGGCAAAGAAAUUCCUUUAUCUGUCCAGAGAGUAGAUUGAACUUGAUGAGUAAAUGCUGACUAUUCCCUAAAGAGACUACAGAAACCCUAGCCAGGAAUCUAGCAUCAUAAGUUUCCUUAGACUUAAGAAUUUCCUUGUCCAUGUGUCACACUGCUUAAGUUUGUGUAUAUAUUCACUCCUCCCAUGAACACUGUGUGCAUUGAUGUGAAAGUGUGACCCAGGUUUAUGGGCAGACUAUUAUGGUUUUUUUUAAAACCCUUACCUUCUGUCUUGGAGUCAAUACUGUGUAUUGGCUCCAAGGCAGAAGAGCGGUAAGGGCUAGGUAAUGGGGGUCAAGUGACUUGCCCAGGGUCACACAGCUGGGAAAUGUCUGAGGCCAGAUUUGAACCUAGGACCUCCCAUCUCUAGGCCUGGUUCUCAAUCCACUGAGCUACCCAGCUACCCCCUAGGCUAUUAUGUUUUAAUUAUCAUUACUUUUGCCUCCCUGACAGCUUGAGUGAAUCCAGGGUCACCUCUAUGCAAAGAUAAGAUAUCAAAGUAGCACUUUGGUGGAGAAUACUCAUAUUAUAAUAAUGAAAUCACUUAUAAUGAAAAUCUUGAAAUCACUUAAAGGACAUUUUCAGAUUAUUUUAAUGUUAAUAUACUCUGUCAUUGAAUGGGCAGCUAAUUCUAGAAGCCUUUCCCAAAGUUGGGGUGAAGGACAAUAGCCCCCUGUUUACUAUGGCCUAGGGUGACUCUGUGUGUUUAUUGAAGCCAAAUUCUAGUGUUUAAAGCCCAUAAAUCAAGGGAGUUUCCCAAUUCCAAAACCAGUGUCAUAUGAUAGCACCUUCCUUGAAGGGUUAUUGUGAGGAUCAAAUAAGAAAGUAUAUGUAAUAUAUGUGUCAAAACUUAAAGCACGAUAAAAAUGUCAAUGAUUAUAAUUGUCAUGAGCUGAAAGAAACAGAUAGGAAUUAUGGUAAUCAGAUAAUAUUCAAUUUUAUUCACUUAGACAAAAUAAGUAAGGUUUCAUGAAGAUCUAAUCUAUUAAGAAUAGCCAACAUGUAUACACACACACACACACACACAUACACACAUACAUUUACUGGGGGGGGGGGGGUUGGAAUAGAGCAAUAGAGAAGGAAAUAAAUAUUUUUCAUCAUAAUAGCUUAAAUAGAGUUAAGUAGUGACCAGAGAUUACAACAUGAUAUAGUUGAAAUUAAGAUGAGCCUAAAUGAAAUUCAGGAAGCCUCUGAUAGUCAAAGGGCUAGAUGCCAUAAAUGAAACUGAUCUGGAAAGUCCAAAAAGAAAGCAAUGAAAAAUUAAUUACAACCUUGAUCUUGAACAUUCCCAAAUGCAUCUAGCUAGAAUUCUUUUAUGAGCUGUUAGCAUUUUGGUUAUACAGUUUAAAUUUUAUUUGUUUUUGCUCUGUACCAACUAGAGGCAAAUUUGUCUUUCCCCUGUAAAGCUUUUCUUAAAAUAAACUCAGUUUUCUCUGUGGGAAAAUUCUAACUUAAUGAAGAAUUUAAUUUUAUGAUUAGUUUUAAUUUUCUCCGUUCCCUUCAUGCUGCUAGGAAUGCAUAUUCUUUGUGUUGUGUUUUAUUUUUUGUAAUUUAAUCUUGUGCUUAUUUUUUCCUACUUAAAUAGUAUCGAUGAAAUAAAUACUACUGAAUGCAAACAUUGGUUUGAUCUUUAAAAUGGUUUUGAUCUUAAUUUCUUUAUAUAUACAGAGUGUUGCAAAAGUUUUAGUGUAGUUAUAAGUUUUAAUAACUUAUGUACAAAAAUAUGCAUGUGUGGACAUAUACACACAUAAAUAUGCAUCUUCAUGUAUUUAUGGAAUAGAAACAGAACAAUUAAUAAGCUAAAUAAUGGAUUCAAAUAUAGAUUAGCAGGGCAGCUAGUUGGCUCAGUGAAUAGGGAGCCAAACCUGAAUAUGGAAGGUCCCAGGUUCAAAUUUGACCUCACAUACUUACUAGCUGUGUGAUCUUGGGCAAGUCACUUAAUCCCAAUUGCCUAGCCCUUACCUCUCUUCCACCUUAAAACCAAUACUUAGUGUCAAUUGUAAGACAAAAGGGUUUAAAAAAAAAAAAAGAAUAUAAACUAGCUGUAUCAGUAACAUAUAGCUGCAAAAAAAAAAAACAAAAACACCUCCAACCUCUGAACCCCCUAUGCACAUUCAAGGAUAGGUAAUAAACAGAACUAAGUGUACCUGACAGAAAAUACACUCUAUAUAAAAGGAUACUCCCUGUGGUGAUUAUUAAACAUACCAAGAGAGUAUAAACUAUCAAGGAUGCAGAAAGAGCAGCAGCUAGAAGCAUAUUUGGUAAUAAAAUUGCUUCAAUUGACUCCUUCCCCUACCCACUGAAAACAGUUACCUCAUAUGAACCAGUUACAAGCAUGUUGGACAGCAGGGAAAGGGACACAACUCACAUAUACAGGGAAUAUUGGGGAGAAGAAAAGGAAGGGAAGUGGACUACAAUUUCAUUAGUUCAUAAGGAACUUAUAGUGCAGAAACUCCCUCUACCUAUACAGAAAAAAACUGCUGUUCUACUAGGUAGAAUCCUAGAGAUGUCUCAGGGUACUGAGAGAUUGAACUCCUCAGGGUUACAGUUAGUAUUUUAUCAGUCUGGAUUUGAAACCAGGUCCUUCUUGCUUCUCAGGCUAGUUGCCCAUCAACUUUACUAGUAGUUCUUAAAGUAUGGUUGGAAGAUCCUUGCUGUACCCCAAGACCCUUUUGGGGCAGAGGGUCCCCUAGAUCAAAACUAUUUUAAUAAUACAAAAAUAUUUUAGUUUCUAAUAUAAUAAAUGUCAAUAGCUACAUUCUGCAGGUAUCAAAGUUCUAGUAGGCAUCCUUAAUAAUAUUUAAGAGUAUAUGGAGGUACUGAGACCAAAAAGUUUGAGAACUGUUGCUCUAUACCAUUCUAACUCUAACAAGAGCUUAGUUAGUUAUCACAUACACAUAUCUAGUGAGGAUAUGUACCAUCUUAUAACCUAGUCACAUUGGGACCCAUUGGUUCUGAUUGAUUCUGAUAUUUGCCACAAGAGAAGUAAAGUCCAACUAGGACCAGAUCAGUUCUGCAGGACCUACAACCUGACCCUUUUAUACUCAAGAGUAAACAAACUUCUGUGCUAUACUUUUACUACUGCUCCAUUACUAAGUUAAAAAACAAAAAAAACUCAUACACUUCUGAAUCAACUGACAAGAAAAAAGUAAGUCACAUAAGAAUGUACAUCUAGUGUUAUAACAUCUUUUUUAUCACUAAGAAAUUCAUAUUUAUUGGGGGAACAUUGGUGCCUCAGUGGAUAGAAAACCAGACCUGGAGACAGGAAGUCCUGGAUUCAAAUUUGACCUCAGAUAAUUCCUAGCUGUGUGACCCUGGGCAAGUUAUUUAACCCCCUUUGCUUAGCCUUUCCACUCUUCUGCCUUAGAAUAAAUAUUGAUUCAGAUGGAAGAUAAGGGUUUUAAAAAAAAAGUUAUACUAAUAGAUUUACUGACACUGUGGCUAUUUCUGUUGUUUCCCUUGCUCCAUAAACCUAUUCAAAAACAUUUUUUGUCUUCUAUGGGGGAUGGCAACUUUUCAAAUAUGGAGUACCAAGGCACAAGCUUCUGUUUUUUAUGCUUUGAGUUUGGGGGAAGAAAUAAACAUGACAACUCUCACAAAGUAAGUAUAGUACCAGUUAUUUAUUUGAGAAAGUUUUGGGGAGGAAGAUGAUGGUGGUAAUAGAAAUUUGCCCUGUCAAUAAAAAAAAAAAAGAUUUGCUUGCCAUCUUCCACAAUCAUGUUAUUAGCAUAUAUGCCAACCUUAUAAUAUAAAAUGAAAUAAUGAAAUAUAAUAUAAAAUGAAAAUGUCUGAAAAGAUUAAUUUCAUUUUAUUAUGUUCUGUCCACAUGUGAUAGGUGAAACUGGAACCUCAAAUAUUGUUGAUUUUCCAUGAACAUUGCCAGAAGUCUUAUUUUUCAUUAUUUGUAAUGUAACAAAAAAUCUGCCCUGGGUCAAAAUUAAAUCUGAAUAGGCAGAAGCAACUGCAUGAAUCAAAUUAGAACAACCUGGUUUGAGUUGGUUGCUUCUUCUCAACUAAUGGUGUCAAAUUCAAAUAGAAAUGGAUCCCUAAAACGUAUGUCAGAAUCCUUGAGGGCCAAGUAUUGAUGUAUGAAAUUACAUAUUAACAUUAUCUUUGUUCUGUCAUAUUUUUAUUUCUUUUGUUAUAAUGUUAUUCCAUUUUAAUUCAGUUCAGGCAGCACUGGGGAAUGUUGUGAUGUGCUUCCAGUAAGCUGCAUUUCAACACUUCUGUAAUAGACCAUGCUUUAUAUCUCCUCCACUUAACCACCAGGACUUGCUUUUUUCUCCUCCCCACCCCCAAUCUUGCUCUGAGAACAGUGAACAAAACACUACUAACCAUUGCUCCUGGAAGAGGUAUUAUGGAUAAUCUACUGUCCUUUAUCUCCACUCUCACUGUUGACCAAAACACCCUUUCUUGAUCACUAAUCCAUAGAUGUGUUUUAUACCUCUAGUCCUUUGAAGGCAGAAACUGUCCCACUUUUCUAUUUGCAUUCCCAGCACCUACCAUAAUGUCUGACAUCUAGCAGGCACUUAAUACUUGUUUAUUGACUGAUUGAUUCUAGACUCAGCCUGAAUUUUUUUAUCUCUGCCAUUAACUAGCUAUAGGUUGAUAGAAAAAUAAAUUAACCUAAUUGUGCCUCUAUUUGUGAAGCAAAGGAUUUGGACUAUAUAUUUAAGAUUCCUUCUAGCUCUAAGAUUCUUUGUAGAUUUAAGUUGAAAGUGAAUCUACUUUUUAAUUGAAUUACUGUUUCUGAGAUCCUAGGGUAAGUUUAUCUCUCUCACUCUCUCUCUCUCUCUCUCUCUCUCUCUCUCUCUCUCUCUCUCUCUCUCUCUCUCUCUCUCUCUCUCUCUCUCUCUCGGUGUGAUUUAAUAAUGUUCUCUUCUUCUCCAGCAGGUUAAUUUUUCUUGAUGUUGCUCAGCCUUGUCUCUCUUUGUGACCCCAUUUGAGGUUUUCUUGGCAAAGAUACUGAGAUUUCCUUCUCCAGCUCAUUUUAUAGAUGAGGAACAAAGAUAAAUAGGAAUAAGUGAUUUGUCCACGAUCACAGAGCCAGUAAGUGUUUGAAGCCAGAUUUGAACUCAGGAAGUUGAGUCUUACUAACUUCAAAACUGGCCCAUUAUUCAUUCUCCCACCCAGUUGCCCUAACAUGCUAAAUAGACAUAAAGAUGCCCAACCAAGAAACCUCAGCAACAAAAGCUAGAUCUAAUUGGAAGUGACUCUGAAGGAUUAAACUGUUUGGCCUAUGAUAAAGCCAUCAUGGCCCAGCAGGACCAAAUUCACCAUGAGAUUACUAUUCAAAAUCCUACAUGCCCUUUGAUGCAACCAUAGCACUGCUGGAUUUAUACCCCAAAGAGAUAAUAAGGAAAAAGACUUGUACAAAAAUAUAGCCACUUUUUGUGGUGGCAAAAAAUUAGAAAAUGAGGGCUGCCCUCCAACUGGGGAAUGGCUGAACAAAUUGUGGUAUAUGUUGGUGAUGGAAUACUAUUGUGCUCAAAGGAAUAAUGAACUGGUGGAAUUCCAUGUGAACUGGAACAAACUCCAGGAAUUGAUGCAGAGUGAAGAGCAGAACCAGGAGAACAUUAUACACAGAGGCGAAUACACUGUGGCACAAUUGAGUAUAAUGGGCUUCUCUACUAACAGCAAUGCAAUGAUCCAGGACAAUUCUGAGGGACUUAUGGGAAAGAACACUAUCUACAUUCAGAGAAACAACUGUGGGAGUAGAAACACAGAAGAAAAACAACUGCUUGAGUUCUAUGGGGAUAUGAUUGGGAAUCUAGACUCAAAAAGAUCACUCUAGUGCAAUUAUCAAUAAUAUGGAAAUAGGUCUUGAUCAAUGACACAUGUAAACCCCUCCCCUACAGACACACAAAAACCAGCUAUAAAAAAGACAAAAACAAAAACAAAGGAAGGACUGGAAAGGCUUUAUUGCUCUAUUUCUAUCUAGCCCUCCAGAGAGGACAGGCAAUUGUGGGAGUUGAGAAGGUGCUGUAUCAGUCUGCAUGGUGAGGGGAGGUCCUGGUGUCUCAGGCUUUACUGAGUUCUCAAUGAUAGAUUUCUGCCACAUGUUCAUAGACUUGAGCAGACAGAAAAACAGUCCUCAAAGGUCAAAACUAUUGACAGUCAACCAGAAGCUGCUCACCUCCAGCUAAUUAUGGCAUGAAAGCCAAUUCUUUCACACUUGACAGAGGAGGACAGUUUUAUCAGUAGGAGGUGGAGCCUCAUCCCUUCCAGGGCUAGAGCUAAUUCCCCUCCCCUCCCAUCUUCUGCUGAGGGGAAGUUCAUGGGUAGACGACAAAGAAGGUUUUUGUGGUUGUAAAUGGUAAUAUGUAACUCUUCUUUUGUUUUCUUUCUUUUUUUUCCUGCCACCCAUGACCUUGAGUGUUUUAUUAAACAGGAUACUGGUUGUGAGGGGGUAAAUUACUUUAAAUAGGUAACCAAGUAACCGAGAAAGGUAAUGUGGCAUAGUGAGCACUGAACUGACUCAAAGGACCUGGGUUCAAAUCUUCUGUCUCUUCUGAACAAUCUUUAUGACUCUGAACAAGUCAAAGUUUCUCAUUUUCAUCAUCUGUAAUGUCAGUUUGAAUUAAAAAAGACUACCAAAGUAGCAAUAAUAAAAGUCUUUAACUGAGGUGAGGGAAUUGCCAUCAUACAGCAUCAAAGUAUAGGAGUGGAGUGCCCACUAAGGGCAGAAGGGGCAGAGUUUAAAUACAUGGUGGAAGGGAAAAUGAUAGAAGUGGGAUGGGCAACAUUGACUUUUACUGGGAGGAGUGCUGGGAAGAAUUAAGUUGUUUUACAAAAUAGCCAAAGGCUGGGGAGACAGGGGAAUGUGACAUCUGGUCAGAACAGUGGACUCCAUCCUCUGGCAGUUCAUAGCUCUGGGAUGAGGACAAGGUCAGCUCAUAGUCAGCUGCAUUCAACUGUAAAAUGAUAGAAUUAGACUUGAUUGCCUACCUCUGAGGUCUCUUUCAGAUGUAAAUCUAUGAUCCUAUCGUGUGUGUGUGUGUGUGUGUGUGUGUAUGUGUGUGUGUGUGUGUGUGUGUGUGUGUGUGUUUCAAUUCCAAACAUCUUAAUUCAACAUAAAUUACUUUAAGUAAGUAACCAAAUAAUUGAUAGAGACAGAGGAAAGAGUACUGGCUAUAUAGUCAGAAGGUUUAGGUUCAGAUCUUAAGAUUCUGCCACCUUGGUUACCUCAAGCAGUUAUUCAGUUUUUCUUAGCCUCAGUUUCUUGACCUGUAAAAUAAAGGGAUUGGACUAUAUGAUCUCUAAGAUAGAUUGAACUCCAAACCCAUGAUCUCAUUAUCCUAAUUGCACUUUAACCAAGCCAAAAUGCUUAGCUGUUUGGCAUUAAUUUUAAAGAUAGAGAGGACUAAAAUUAUAUUGUUUGAACCAAUAAUUACCAAAAAUAUACACUUAUGAGAAAAAGCUAUUGGUAGGGGGACAAAGUGGUAAAGUUGGAGUCAAAAUGACCUGGGUUCAAAUAUUGCCUCUGUUACUAAUUAGCUUUUCCACUGGGAAAAUGUUUACACUUCUCAAUGCCUCAGGAACCAAUGUGGGAUUUAAUCAAUUAAAUUCUAUUCAGCUUGUAUCUACAUUCACUGAAGGAGUUCUUUCUACUUAAUGAAAUAAUUGACAUUUAUACAUAUACUAUGCACCAGAGCUGACAUUGUUUAGGAUAUACCCAAUUUCUAAAGCAAAGAAUAAUUUUUAAGACUCUAGUGUUCUUUGUCAUGUGUUAUGUUGAUUUCUAACUAGAAUGUAGCCUUUUUUAGUUUUUUCUCAGAGUAAAUUCUAAAUUUUAAAAAUAGAGUAUAUGAAACAAUUUUAGAAAUCUAUCCUCAGACAAUUCCUAGCUAUGUGAUCCUGGGCAAGUCACUUAGCCCUCUUUGCCCAGCCCUUGCCCUUCUGUCUUCUUAAAAUUGUUACUAAGACAGACAGUAAGAUUUUAUUUUAAUUUUAAAAAUACAUAAAGUAAAUAGAGAAAUUUAUUUUUAAAGUCCAUUACUAUAGAAUAGUAAAGAGUUCAAAUCAACAGAGCAAUUAGUAUACAUAUAUUCAUUUUAGCACAGAAUGACAUAGACAAUUAAUCUGGUAGUUUUGAUGCUUUGUUAAGAAUCUUGUUUAGAAAUCAAUGUUUCACUUCAUUUUCGUAACCUGAAAACUCUCAAGUGUGGUGGUAAGAAUAUUUUUGUACCAACACAAAAAAAGAAAAUUUGUGGAAAGAACAAGUAGAUAGUGAAGAAGUAGAAGAAUUAGUGGUAGACAUCUUUUCAAUAAAUUUAGAAGGAAAAGGAAAAAGGGAAAUGGAACAGUAGAUAAAUGGGCUAAGCAGAUCAAACAGCUAUAGUUAAAAAACCUGAAGAAAGACUAAACUAGUAGUUAAAAUGAGGACUUUGGAUUAUCUGCAAUUUCAGCUCUCUGUUGUACCUUUCCCUUCUCUCAUAUUUCUAUAGAUAAUACUGUUGUUCCAUUGUUUCAGUUGUGUCUGACUCUUUGUGACCAACUCUUCAUGAUCCCAUUUCAGUUUUUUGGGGGGUCAAAGAUACUGGAGUGGUUUGCCAUUUCCCUCUCAACAGAUAAUAGAGAGUUGACUAAAUCCUAAAUAUAAUGGAAGGUCUCAUGUGGUGAUACUGCAGCUCCCCCACAUCACAGGAACCAUAGUCAUUCCACCACAGAACCAUUCCAGAAUAUGAAUUCUCUCAGAGAAACCUGCUUCUAAAGUAGCUCCAGCCAGCUUUUUCAGCUUUCAAAGCUAUUAUCCAUAAAACAGCAUAUUUGAAAAUCUGCUGCUAGUACAUGCUGUUCAUGCAAAGCAAACCUCAACACAAGAGAGAGAAGUAGAAUAUUUGAGGUACUCACUAAAAUGGAGAAACUCCACAUACAGAUUCUCAAGAAAUCAGAUGUGUUAUUUUAGAGGCAGACUGGUGUAGUGCAAAAGGUCCACUGGACUUGUAUAUAACAUUGGUUUGAAUGCUGUCUGAUCCUUUCUGGAGGAUCACAGGCAAAGCUCUCAUCCUUUCUGAUCCUGCUUCCUCAUUUUCAACAUAGGGGUAAUAAUACUCUGUAGUAACUUCCCUAUAAGGUUGCUGUGGUGUCAAGUGAGUUUCUGUAUAUAAAAACCAAUAAGAACUAUAGAAAUAUUAUGAUUAUUAUUACAGAGGCAACUAAGUGGUGACAUGAACUCUAGAACGCUAGAUCUGGAUUUGGGAAUCCCUGAAUUCAAAUCCAGUUUUAGACUUUUAAUAGCUGUGUGACCCUGAAUAAGUCAUUUAAACACCCAGGCUCAGUUUCUUCAUCUCUAAAAUGGGAAUAAUAAUAGCACCUUUAUCCAGGGUUAUUGUGAGAAUAAAAUAACAUUUGCAAAGCAUUUUGCAAAUAGUAAAAUGCUAUAUAGCUAACUAGUAUUUUUAUUUAUUUAUUUUUAUCUAGCAUUGUAAAUGCCUAGGCAUCCAUAUCUUUGGGUAUGGACAUCUGCCUCUAUUAGCCAAGGACUUUGACUUCUUUACCACUGGCACAUGGUGGCUAUUGCAUUACUGCUGAAGAACAGGCAGGGGCACAGACACAAUCUAUGUCAUCAUUAUUUAACAUUAAUUAAAAGCAACCUAGCUCUAUCAUACUUACUAGAGGAUAUAUACACAAAGGAGAGAGAAAGAGAAAAGAAAGAGAAAAAAAUAAGGAGGGCAGAAGAAAGAAAAAGGAAAGAGGAGGAGAUGGGAGAUUGAAUAGAAAUUCUUACUCCAAUUUGAAUCAAGUUUCUAGGGAAGUAUAAAAAAGGAAUGUUUUGUGUUCUAUUGUUCUAUCUAAUAUUCUAUUUUUGUUGUUUUGAGACAAAGACGGAAACACAUUUUAAUGGAAGCUGGCUACAUGACCAGUGGUAAAUAAGGCAUUCUGGGAUGCUUCAUUUGUCAGAUUUCACAAGAAGUAGUUCCCAAGAUAUCAGUGUACUGCUUUUCAGAGUAUGGUUUAGCUCCCUUGGUCCCCCCUCUGGCCCCAGGCACAGGAACAGAGUACAACCUGACCUUCAUCCAGGGCCUCAUGCUCCUCAAGAAGAGCAGAUUUCUGUGUUCUUGUCUGUGGUCACUGCACAAAGUUUUUAUCUUUUUUAAUAUGCCCUGGACCCCUUUGACAUUCUGGUGAAGCCUAUGGAACCCUGCUCAGAAAAAUGUUUUUAAAUACAUAAAAUGUAUAAGAGUAUAAUGAAAAUAAAAUAUAUUGUAAUACAGUUUGUAAAAAUAUUAUAAAAACAAAUUCAGAAAUUCCAGACUAAGAAUCUUUGUGGUAGAGAAAAACAAAUAUUUGUGUUACCUUGUUUCAAAUGAUUAAAAUUCCCAGUUACCUGUCAUUAUAUUCUUAACAUAGUAAAUGUGUAUUUUAUAUUCUUUAAUAAUAAAAAUUAGCAACCUCGCUCAUUGCAAAGGGAAGGGGGAAGAAAUAUUUGAAAAUCAAGAUGGUGUGAAAAUAAAAGAUAUUAAUACAUUUUUUAAAAUGUGCCAACCUUUAAAUACAAUGGUAUAUUACCUGUAUUCCCCAGCAUUUAAGCUAGAUCUCCCAUAAUCCUCGAAAACAGUAAUAAGACUUGUUAAGUCAGAGAAAUGUGGCUAUGUAUUUAUUAAACAGAGGUGUUUCCAUCCCCUAAGUGAAUAGCAUCAAUACCAUCAUUCAUGUGUGAGUAAUGUGUCUCCCUGGAUCUCAGUUUCUUCUGAGAAGACUUACUGCCUUCACUGUGCUGAGGCACUGGAUAAAGGGAGAAAAGAAACAACUAUUGAAUGAUCAUACUUCCUCCAUCUGAGUAAUUAACUGCCUUUGAAAGGUUGAAAUUCAUGAAUUUAUCAGGCUCCACCCUACUUGGCCAAUCCAAGCUGAUAUUACUCACAGAUGCCAGUUCAGUGUGCUAUGCUCUCAGGUAACUUCGUGGUGAACUAGAAAUCUGAUUAUGUAAAAAGCUUUUGGCUUCGGGCCUCCAGAAGGUAUAUGCAAAACAAAUUUAGAAAAUCAGAUCUCAUUCAAGGUCAGAGUGAAACGUUUUGUUGACUAAAAUUUAAUUUCAGUGCUUUUCAAAUGACUGUUCGCUAGCUAUUUGCAUUAUCUGAUGUGGAGAAUAAAAAGGAAAUCCUGGCA